rnacentral:rRNA from 1 species
CAGUAGCCGCGGUAAUACGGAGGGAGCUAGCGUUGUUCGGAAUUACUGGGCGUAAAGCGCGCGUAGGCGGUUACUCAAGUCAGAGGUGAAAGCCCGGGGCUCAACCCCGGAACUGCCUUUGAAACUAGGUGACUAGAAUCUUGGAGAGGUCAGUGGAAUUCCGAGUGUAGAGGUGAAAUUCGUAGAUAUUCGGAAGAACACCAGUGGCGAAGGCGACUGACUGGACAAAUAUUGACGCUGAGGUGCGAAAGCGUGGGGAGCAAACAGGAUUAGAUACCCCUGUAGUCCCUGUCUCUUAUAC